rnacentral:lncRNA from 1 species
AAAGGAAACGGAACAGGUCUGAGGGGUGCAGAAGAGAGAGCACAGCAAUCAUGUAAGAGACGGGAAGAGUGGUCCCAGCCCCCCUCCCGGCCCACUAGGUCUAGGAAUACAAAGAUGAAAUAUAGAUUUCAGUAAUAAUUCAGGAAUAUCGGAUGGAAGAGUGUAUUAGCCGUGUGGAGCUUUGGAAGUGCCCAACCAUUGAGCUGAUUGAGGCAUAUUAAAUAUAAGGCUGUGUGUGUGGAACUCCAGUCUAGGACUCGGGCGGCUUCACUUCUCUCUUCGAUUCUGAAGCUUCUAGUUCCAUGAAUCCAUCCACUGGUUUCUUUGUCUCUCUGGCUACCAUCAGCUAUUACGAGGAUCUACUCUGCUUCUAGUCAGGCAAGCCAAUCUACUAAGCCAGUCUCUGGUUGUAAAGCCAACCUGCUGGGCCAGCUCAGGUGGAAUCUCCACUCAGAACUCUCCCCACUGUCACUGAGGGGUUAGCUGGGGCUGCUAUCUCAUCCGAGGUUAAGGUCAUGCAGACUCACAUGGUUAAAACACACUAGUUUCUGCACUGCUGAAGAAUAGGGUGAGGUCGUUACUCUCACCUGAACUGUGGGUCAGUGACUAUGUUCCGUUUUCAGUGGAACUCUUAAGUUCUAGCUUAUGUGGCUCUGGAGGUACUUCAUACUAUGCCUGUCACUUCUUGAUACAUUUCUGGUUUUCCUUCCUGUAAACAUCUAGAAGCAGUGUUCUGCUUUCAAAGGGCUCAUCUUGUUACAGAAGGCCUGACAUGGAUAAUAUCUCUUUGGGGUACUAGUUAGCACAAUUGUAGGGAAGAUGUAUCAUCAUAUUUACAAGAUCACACACUUCAAGAAGGGGAUUAUUCAAGACUUGUAAAAAGGAAGUGUGAUUUUGAGAGUCAUUGAAGAAGUACGCCUAGGUAAGGCUCUAUAGCUGGAGAUAACACCUACACAAUUCCUGGAGUGCAGAGAAGUCAAGUAGAACCUUCAUCCCUACAGACUAGUGUUCAUGGUACUGGAAGAUGCUAUUCAUGCUAUCCAAGGACUAACCCAGCUCCAAGUUCUUCUAUCUACAAUGAUGACUUGCCUGGAAGAUGUGCUAGUGUAGUAAUGGUGCCAAGCUCAUGGGAGUAACCAACUGAUAUCUGAUUGGAUUUAAGGCCCAGUCCAUGAGAUGGAGCCCAUCCCAGACACUACUUAGGUGACCAAGAGCCUGAGAUCAGAUAGGCUAAGGUCUUAGGGUAAAGCCAUGUGUUUCUAUUCUGCUAAAGGAACAUAGCUAUAGCCAUACAAUGACUUUUAACAACAUUGUGCAGUACUCAUAGAUCUGUGCCUUGCCCAGCCUUCAUCACAACCGCUUCCUUCUGCAGAAGAUGAAGACAAAUAGUGAUACCCAGCCGGACACUGUGCAGAGAGUGAGAGAUCUUGGGACAUUCAGCCCUAAUGGGAUAACUCCAGCAAAUCCAUCUCAACAGGUCCCGGGGAACUCGGUGGAAGAGGAGGCAGAGAGACUGUAAGAACCAAAGGGAGGGAGGACACCAAGGAAGGAAGGCCUCUUAAACACAGCAGGAUGGAUGCACGUAUGAACUACAGAGAUGGUGGCAGCAUGCAUAUAGCCUGCACAGGUCAACGGAUGGGACCCCAGAGCUGAGUGGAGAUGGACAGAAACUCCCAAACCUAACCCAGAAGCUGUCUCCAAUACAUAAAAAUUAGUGAAAUGGUGGCAUCUUGAAUCUUGGAAGUAACCCAUAAAGCUCCAACUUGAUUUAAGGCCUACUCAAUAGGCAAAGAACUCAUGCCUACUGUUAUAAAUCUAGCCAACUACUUGUAGCGGCUGAGGUCAUGAGCCCUAGAGGAGAACCUAUUACUGACACUUUCCCAGAACAGCAUAACCUCUAGCUACACUCUAAAUACACAGGUCGGUGUAGCUCCCGGCCCUCUUCAAAGAAACCUCUCUCUGUAGCAGAAGGAAACUGUUACAGAAAUUCACAGCUGGUCAAAUGCAGAGGGGAAAAAAAAUCUAUGGAAUUCUCGAGAUACAUAAAUAAAUUUUCAUUUUAAAAU